AAAUCCGGUACUCGUUAAGGCUGAGCUGUGAUGGGGAGAAGACAUUGUGUCUUCGAGUCGUUGAUUUCACACUGCCGAGAAAAGCCUCUAGAUAGAAAAUAGGUGCCCGUACCGCAAACCGACACAGGUAGUCAAGAUGAGAAUUCUAAGGUGAGCGAGCGAACUCUCGUUAAGGAACUCGGCAAAAUGACCCCGUAACUGCGGGAGAAGGGGUGCUCUUUAGGGUUAACGCCCAGAAGAGCCGCAGUGAAUAGGCCCAAGCGACUGUUUAUCAAAAACACAGGUCUCUGCUAAACCGUA
rnacentral:rRNA from 1 species